rnacentral:snRNA from 1 species
AGAUUUAUGCGAUCUGGCUGCAACAUCUGUCACCCCAUUGAUCGCCAGGGUUGAUUCGGCUGAUCUGGCUGGCUAGGCAGGUGUCCCCUUCCUCCCUCACCGCUCCAUGUGCAUCCCUCCCGAAGCUGUGCACUUGGUCGAAAAGGGUAUACGAGUAGCUGUGCUCCCCUGCUAGAACCUCCAAACAAGCUCUCAAGGUCCAUUUGUAAUGAGCAUUCUUUCCCAGUCAGCUGCCUGGGUCCUGCU